rnacentral:tRNA from 2 species
UGUUCUCUCGACUAAUUGGCAAGUCACCGGAUUCUGGUUCCGGCAAUUCAGGUUCGAGUCCUGGGGGAACAAC